rnacentral:rRNA from 1 species
GAUGAACGCUGGCGGCGUGCCUAAUACAUGCAAGUCGAGCGAACGGACGAGAAGCUUGCUUCUCUGAUGUUAGCGGCGGACGGGUGAGUAACACGUGGAUAACCUACCUAUAAGACUGGGAUAACUUCGGGAAACCGGAGCUAAUACCGGAUAAUAUUUUGAACCGCAUGGUUCAAAAGUGAAAGACGGUCUUGCUGUCACUUAUAGAUGGAUCCGCGCUGCAUUAGCUAGUUGGGAAGGUAACGGCUUACCAAGGCAACGAUGCAUAGCCGACCUGAGAGGGUGAUCGGCCACACUGGAACUGAGACGCGGUCCAGACUCCUACGGGAGGCAGCAGUAGGGAAUCUUCCGCAAUGGGCGAAAGCCUGACGGAGCAACGCCGCGUGAGUGAUGAAGGUCUUCGGAUCGUAAAACUCUGUUAUUAGGGAAGAACAUAUGUGUAAGUAACUGUGCACAUCUUGACGGUACCUAAUCAGAAAGCCACGGCUAACUACGUG